rnacentral:rRNA from 1 species
GGACCAAGGAGUCUAGCAUGUGCGCGAGUCAUUGGGUCGUACUAAACCUAAAGGCGAAAUGAAAGUGAAGUCCGGCCCCGCGCCGGGCGAGGGAAGAUGGCGCGCGCCGCGACGCGCGCCCGCAUUCCCGGGGCGUCUGGCACUCAUUGCGAGGCGAGGCGCACCUAGAGCGCACACGCUGGGACCCGAAAGAUGGUGAACUAUGCCUGGUCAGGACGAAGUCAGGGGAAACCCUGAUGGAGGUCCGUAGCGAUUCUGACGUGCAAAUCGAUCGUCGGAACUGGGUAUAGGGGCGAAAGACUAAUCGAACCAUCUAGUAGCUGGUUCCCUCCGAAGUUUCCCUCAGGAUAGCUGGCGCACGGAGGAAUUGUGAUAUUGUGAUAUAAUAAACGGAUGAGUCUCAUCCGGUAAAGCGAAUGAUUAGAGGCAUUGGGGUCGAAACGGCCUCAACCUAUUCUCAAACUUUAAAUGGGUGAGAUCUCCGGCUUGCUCGAGAGCUAUGUCGUUUUGAAGCCGGAGAUCGGAUCUACGUGUGCCAAGUGGGCCACUUUUGGUAAGCAGAACUGGCGCUGUGGGAUGAACCAAACGUCGAGUUAAAGCGCCCAAAUCUACGCUUAUGGGACACCAUGAAAGGCGUUGGUAACUUAAGACAGCAGGACGGUGGCCAUGGAAGUCGGA